rfam:Glycine soja cultivar W05 scaffold5_95, whole genome shotgun sequence.
ACUAACAAGAUAUAUCUACUUUUUGGUAGCCUAUUACAUAAGAACUCCAAAGUUAAGCGUGCUUGGCUUGGAGUAGUAAUGGGAUGGGUGACCUUUUGGGAAGUUUCCCAGAAAGCGUGUAAGUA